UUAAAUAUUCAGGUGAGCGAUACAGGACCUCUUGGGCCUCUUGUUUAAAUUACAAAUUAUUUUUAUAUAUUGGUAAAAAAGCAUGCUUCCACAAGAUCUUCCAUUAUUGUUAGGAAACCAUUAUACCUCACCUGGCAAUUCAUUUUGUCCUCCACCCGGGGAUCUACCACUAAGCAUAUACAUUAUACAUCAUAAUUCAUAUUUAAUAUUCUUGAUCAAACAGCAAUAAAAACUCCCGACAAUAUCAUUCUUAUGAUAGGCGAUAAUCUACUGUCAACAAGCAAAUGAUUCCAAACUCAAGAGUUAUGAAAAGUUUCAUACACAGCGGGAACAAUGUUGCUUUUAUUUGAAACAUUUCAGGAUGUUUUCUGUAAAUGUUUAGCAUAGCUACUGUAUUGCUCUAGGGAUCAUUGCGAGUUGUGAGAUCCGCCAAGCCAUUUUCUAUAGACGGAUGAUAUAUAUAGCCUGGGUUGUAAAAAGUUACGUAAACUACUGUGAUUUAAUGCUAUUUGUUUGGCGAGAUAAAUAAAUAAAUAUUAAGAAUAUUAAUUUUAUAAGAAUAAAUGAAACAAAUGUUUAUCAACUUUUAUUUAUCACACUUGUUGGCCAGGAUGUAUGUGAAGAAGCCCCCUAUAGUAAGAUGUCCCUGCCUCCCCUAGGAGUAUCCCUUCUCAGAACAAAGAAAAAAGUUACAUAUCAUUUUAACGUGUCUACGAGUGUGAACCAAAGAUAUUUUAGAUUAGUAGUUAAUUUAGCAACAAACAAAAGAUAAUACCAUCAACUUAUUCACCCCUGAAGACAUAUUUGAACUCUUCAAAGGUUGGAAUAGUUCAUUAUGAAAUAGCAGGGGUUAAAAUAUCAUGGGUUAAAUCAGUUAAGAAUAAAAGUUUCAUUGCCAUUUUAUUUGAAGGUUUUCUAUACAUUUUUCACUAUUGUUACAUUCUUAUUUUAAACCUCAUUUCAUUUUUUUGCACUUUUUACCCUUAAACAUGUGGACUUAGGGUGAAAAAUAUAUUUGUGAACACUAUAAAAGUGUUGUUUAACAUUUUUUUAGGGGAUUCUGAUUUUUGCAAUUUUUGUGGGAAACAAUUUGAAAAAAUAAUGCAUUCUUACCGUUACACAUUUUGUCAUGUCUACAGUCCACUUGACCUGAAAUCUUAAAACACAGAUCUCACAAAAUUGAUUCAUCAUUUUUUUUUAGCAAAUCCAGAAAAAUUUAGGGCUGCGAAAAAAACCCAAAAGGCUUAAAAGUUAUCAUCAGUGUAGGAAUGUAAGAAGGCCAAAGGUUUACAGUGUGUUCGUCUUUCUCUCCGUGUUGAGGAUGUAGUGAAAAACUGUUUUAUUGUUUCCUAUGAAAAAUCAAAAUUUUACAGGCCGCUAUUUUAGGGGGCAGGAUUAUCCGUCCUGUCCCGUUCUGUCCUAUUCUUUCAUGAUUCAGUGUCUUCAUUCUACUACAUUUCUUCACAAAUUUUGACCAAACUUUAUACAAAGGUCAAGUACGAAAAUACCUGGAGUGAGUUCUUAUUUCAGGGUUCAAAGGUUAAAAACAAGGUCACUGUUACUGUGGUUAUUUAUAGAAAUUUGUCGAUUAUUUAGUGAUUUCGCUCUAACAAGCUUCAUGCAAAAGAUUUAGUAUGAGAAUACCUCAAAUGAGUUCCUACUUCAGGAUGCCAAGGUCAAAGUGGUUAUGUCAAGGUCACUAUUACUUUUUAUAGAAAGUGGCCAACAAUGACUGAUUUGCAUUGGAACGGGAAGAUUCAUGUCAAAGUCAUUCUCUAGUUUUAUUAUUAUGACAUAAUUUGUCAAGAACUUUUUUAACUUCGUACUUAUAAAAAUGAUCUGUUAACUCUACCUUACAUUAAGAAUUGAAUUCCACAUGAUACUAAAACAUCGACGGGUCAUUUCAUUGUGAUUUCAUUGAGAUGGUGAUUAAAACAAUGAUGAAAAGUAUUUAUAUGGUGCUUUAUGUGGAAUAGGAUGAUUCGACCAUUUUGAAAUACUGUGUAUAUCUGUUAUAUUUCGCGGGGGUCUUAAUUUAGCUAUAUUCCCGCUUUGACUUAUAUCCACAAAUUCAUGUUUCGAAUUUUCGAAACUGUAAACCACUUUUACGGAACUUAUCACAACAUGUGACAGCUGGGCAUGGAAUGUAAAAACAACACUUACAUAUAAGUGGCCACAACAUAUUGAUUGUGUACACAGUAGAUGUUUACUUGAUUACAGUUUACUCCUACAAAGGUACAUACACAUUUGAUUUUCUUUCUAGUGAAGUCACUGACGGAUGACGACCCUAGGGAUCAGUGUUUUCAAACGGUUUACCUACACAUAUAUUUCAAGGUUUAACCCUUAAAUGAUUACACUCAAAAUACUUUGCACUUCACAUGGGAUUUGAGUGCACAGCCAAAUUUAACGAAUAUGUACUGAAUACGAAACUGCGAAAUACUGACCCCGCGAAUUACUGACCCCGCAAAUUUAAGAGUGUUAUACAGUAACCAUACAAAAAAAUAAUAAUAAUUUGACAAAGAUUUCAAUAGCUCAGGUGUAAGUCAUGUUAUUUAGCAAUAUUAAUAAUGUGUACUUCACAUUUUUUAUUUCACAAGCUUUUUUUAUUAGUACAGCUUUUCAAAAUGACAAUAAUAUAUGAAAACUAUUUGAUGUACAAAUCUUUCUGAAACAAUUAUUCUUGAAUUUGUUAAUUGAGAAAACCACUGGAGCUGAAUUACUCUUAGAUACUCCUCAUCUUGGGGAAAACAGUUCUAAACAUUCCCAACAUUUAAGUUUAGAAUAAUAGCAAAGCCAUAUAUCAUGCACAUUUCUGAAAUGACUGUUAUUUUUUAUUUAUCGAUUCCAGGAAAUAAAUUCUUCAUUUAGUUCA